GCAGCAGCGGCAGCAGCAGCAGCAACAGCAGCUCCAGUUCGGUUUUACCUUGCGGGGAGGCGUCCUCAGGAAUUGAUAUCCCCUCAGCCAAAGCCAGACCCUGGUGUUUCAGAUGAGAGGAGGCCUAAUGGCUGGAAGAUCCAUCACUCCCACUGAUGAGUUUUUUUGGCACCCUGAACAUGGGACUGACAGACCCCUCAAUGGAUUUCAGUGGAAAAGCUAUGAUCCUGAUUUCAGUGAAAAAGCCUGUGAUCCUGAUUCUGUGGAAAAGACUCUUCAACCCAGAAAUUAGGGUGAGUACAACAAAGAAAUUUUGUUAAAAGAGUUAAAGUAGAAUUUCAGCUAAGAUGGAACAGAUAUUUAGAAAACAGCCUUCUGUUUCUCUUUAAAGAAAAUGUUUAGAGAGCAUUGUCAAAGUUAUGGAAAGUCAAGGUUUGAUUAUAAUUUUGAAGCAGAUCACUGAACUUUUAGAAACUGUAAAGAACAUAUGUCCUUGUUUCUCUCUGGAAAAAAAAAUUGGAUCUAGACAAAUGGAAAUUAGUAGGAGAGGAUCUUUGUCAAUUCUAUAAUAAAAAUGAACCUAACUCAAUUUCUAAAAACAUACUUAAUACAUAUAAUUUAAUACAACUGGCUUUAGGAAAUUUUAUAAGUAUUAAAAUACGGAAAAAGAAGAAAUAGCAGCAAGGGAAAGUGCCAACUAUACUAGGUGAAAAGGAGCAAAAAUCAGAUAAGAAUGGAGUUAAGUACAAUUAUGAGUGUGAUACUUCACAGCAGGAGGAAUUAGAUCAUUCCACAUCUCAUGAUCCUCCUCCCUCAAUUAACCCUUCAUGGGUGGAGGAAAAAGGGGGAGGAAGAGAGGCAGAAACACAGUCAGCGUCUCCUGUGAAGCAGAAUAUGACAAGAUUAGAAGAGGCAUUAAUUAAAGCAAAAAAUGAAGGAGAAGAUAUAUCUGAUUUUAUAAAUGCAUAUCCUGUGAUUGAAAAGCUUGACUCUUCAGGUCAAAAAGAGAGAAAAUACACUCCUUUUAAUUUGGAAAAAAUUAAAGAUUUGAAAAAGGGUUGCACUCUUUAUGGGGCUACAUCCUCUUAUGUUAAGAUGUUACUAGAUAAUUUGUCUUAUGAAAUCCUAACCCCAAAUGAUUGGAAAUCCAUAGCUAGAACAUGUCUAGAACCGGGACAUAAUUUAUUGUGGCUUUCGGAGUAUCAUGAAUUAUGUAGGAUUCAAGCCCAAUGCAAUAGGCAAACAGGAGCUAUUGGACAAAUCACUUUUGACCAACUAGCUGGUGAAGGUCAGUACAGAGAGAAUUCAGAACAGAUUUAUUAUCCCAUAACAGUGUAUGAACAAAUUUCUAAGGCUGCAAUAAAAGCUUGGAAUUCUCUCCCUGGACAGAAGGAUGGAAGAAAAGCUUUCACAAAAAUAGAGCCAAGUCCCAGUGAACCUUUUGCAGAUUUUGUGGGACAUUUGCAAACAGCUGUAAUAAGAACCACUGGAGAUAAUGCUGCCACAGAAAUAAUGACUAGACAUUUGGCUAGGAAAAUGCCAGUGAGAUUUACAAAAGAAUUAUAUGGGGGCUAGACAAAGAUGCUCCUUUAGAGGACAUCAUAAGAUGCUGUGCCACAGGCACAAAUGAUUAUUAUGCCCAGACUAUGAUGAACAUAGGAAGACAGGGUCCCUCUUGGUAAGGGACUUCUAGAGAAACAUUUUCAAAGUGGAAAAGUUGGACAUCUUAGAGCUCAGUGUAGAUAUGGAGAUAGAGUGAGAAUACAGGGUGAGAGAAAACCCAAAACCCCAUGUCCAAAAUGCAACAGAGGCUUCCACUGGGCUUCUGAAUGUAGAUUGACCCUGAGAAAUAAGAGGUGGAUCCCAGUUCCCAGGUAUCAAUCAAAAGACAGAUAGCAGCUGAAGUUACACCCAGAGAGUCUUUAGAAAUUCAGGACUCUGAUGUCAUCAACCAACAGAAAAGCAAUCAGGAUUACAGCUGGGGAGAAUACAGGCCUUUUAACCCAAUAAGGCAAUAUCCAGUGCAAACAACUCCAAUCUAAUUGCCAGAUGAUGAGGAGAAACCCCAAAAGUGGUAAAUAGAAGGGAAUUAGAUAGGUUAAUUGCUUGGGGAAGAGGGUUUGCUUGUAUCUCUACAGGUGGAGAAGGAAUCAGAUGGGUGCCAAUGAGCUGCAUUCGCCUUGUCCAUCAGAGAGAAACAGAAAAAUAAAAAAACCUCAAAACAAAGGAGAUUUAAGAAACAUUUGACACUGAAAGAGCAUGGCUGACAAUGAGACUGUUAAAAGAACUUUUAAAAUCCUCAGGAAUCAAUGGAUUUCCUAACACAAGAUGAGACUGUUUUAGUUCUUGAAAAACCAGCAAGAAUUAUUGGAUUCCUUAAGAUGAAAAAUUGUUGAUGAGACUAUUGCAGUACUUUAGAGCUUACAGGAACUAUUAGACUCCUGGCACAAGAACUAAUGGACAAUGUAUUUCUUUUGGACUAUUUCUAGGACUUAUGGACAUGUAUAAAUUCUCAUGUUGAUUCAUGUUAUUUGUUACAUUACUACUAGCCGGUGUUAUAUUGCUAUGUGCUUAUGCCAUUAUGUGUAAUGCCUCCCAUAUUGAUGGAUUUAUGUGUACCAUGUAUAUCUGUUUCAAGUUCUGGCCCAUAUUGAUGGAUUUAUGUGUACCUGUUUCAAGUGAGCCCCUUCAGAAACCUGCUAAUUUGACUUCCUAUUUUCUUUGGUGUUUUCAUCUCCCUUCCUGAGAAGUCAGGGAGGGUAUGACCACCUUCUUUUUAUGGUGUUUUCACUCCUUUUUUGAGCAGUCAGGGAAGGUGUGAUCACCUUUUUGGGAUUCUCACUCCUUGAGAAGUCAGGGAGGUCAUAACCAUAUUAUGUUCUAAAACAAAAGAAAGCGGGGGGAGGGAGGGAUGUUGGAAUCUUUACAAACUGUUAACUCAUUAGAGUUGAUAGAGACAAUAAUUAUCUAAUUUAGCAUGGUUCAGUAUCCUUGAUCUGAUCUUACAAGGAGAUGUUUUGGACCAGAACCUGAAACAAGGUACUAAGUAGAACUAAUUGAUACAAUGCAUGUGUUCACACCGUUAGAGAGCUCAUAUAAGCAAGAAGUAUUUAAGUACUCAUUGGAGUUCACAAGUAUGGGAGAUUCACAAAGUAAACUUUGUAACUUUGUGAAUUCACACCUCCCUUAGGUGUGCCUCCCGAAGGAGGAGUCAACCUUUGGGAGAUCAUAUAUAAAGAAGCUCUUAGCUUCAGGUUAGUUAGUUACUUCGGGUUAGAGAGAGUUACUUCGGAACAUUGACUGGGGUUGAAGAGGAGCACUCUGGGAGGAAGCCCACCAGCCCUCUCUCCGAGGCAAGAGAGAUUCAUUCUAUUUUCCACUUGGCUGGCUGGAGGCUGAAGAAAGCAGAGGCAGAAGCAAAGGACAAUCUGCAAGAGGUCUUGUAACCAAGCAGAGAGAUAGGCCUCAACUAACCCGGGCUAUUUUGGAAGGAGAAAAUAAAUGUUUGCAUUUUUACCA